rnacentral:rRNA from 1 species
AUAGCAUAUCAAUAAGCGGAGGAAAAGAAACUAACAAGGAUUCCCCUAGUAACUGCGAGUGAAGCGGGAAAAGCUCAAAUUUUGAAUCUGGCGGUCGUUGAGGCCCGUCCGAGUUGUAAUCUAGAGAAGCGUCUUCCGCGCUGGACCGUGUACAAGUCUCGUGGAAGGGAGCGUCAUAGAGGGUGAGAAUCCCGUCUUUGACACGGACUGCCAGUGCUAUGUGAUGCGCUCUCGACGAGUCGAGUUGUUUGUGAAUGCAGCUCAAAAUGGGUGGUAAAUUCCAUCUAAAGCUAAAUAUGGGCGAGAGACCGAUAGCGAACAAGUACCGUGAGGGAAAGACGAAAAGAACUUUGGAAAGAGAGUUAAACAGUACGUGAAAUUGCUGAAAGGGAAACGCUUGAUGUCAGUCGCGUUCGCCAGGGAUCAACCUAGCUUCAUCGCUCGGUGCAUUUCUUGGUGGAACGGGUCAGCGUCAGUUUCGAUCGAGGUAUAAUGGCAAAGGUAAUGUGGCACCCCUAGGGGUGUGUUAUAGACCUUGGUCGUAUGCUUGGGUGGGGACUGAGGAACUCGACACGGACUUUCGCUAGUCUUGUGUCUAGGAUGCUGGCAUAAUGGCCUUAAGCGACCCGUCUUGAAACACGGACCAAGGAGUCUAACAUGCCUGCGAGUGUUCGAGCGAAUAAACUCGUGCGCGGAACGAAAGUGAAAGUCGAGAUCUCUGUCAUGGAGAGCAUCGACGCCCGGACCAGAGUCUAUUGACGAAGGAUCUGCGGUAGAGCAUGCAUGUUGGGACCCGAAAGAUGGUGAACUAUGCCUGAAUAGGGUGAAGCCAGAGGAAACUCUGGUGGAGGCUCGUAGCGAUUCUGACGUGCAAAUCGAUCGUCGAAUUUGGGUAUAUGGUGAAAGACUAAUCGAACCAUCUAGUAGCUGGUUCCUGCCGAAUUCCCCCUCAGGAAUA